GUUUCCGUAGGUGAACCUGCGGAAGGAUCAUUAAUUGAACAUCGC
rnacentral:rRNA from 1 species